rnacentral:rRNA from 1 species
GUAGGGAAUUUUCGUCAAUGGGGGAAACCCUGAACGAGCAAUGCCGCGUGAGUGAAGAAGGUCUUCGGAUCGUAAAGCUCUGUUGUAAGUGAAGAACGGCUCAUAGAGGAAAUGCUAUGGGAGUGACGGUAGCUUACCAGAAAGCCACGGCUAACUACGUGCCAGCAGCCGCGGUAAUACGUAGGUGGCAAGCGUUAUCCGGAAUCAUUGGGCGUAAAGGGUGCGUAGGUGGCGUACUAAGUCUGUAGUAAAAGGCAAUGGCUCAACCAUUGUAAGCUAUGGAAACUGGUAUGCUGGAGUGCAGAAGAGGGCGAUGGAAUUCCAUGUGUAGCGGUAAAAUGCGUAGAUAUAUGGAGGAACACCAGUGGCGAAGGCGGUCGCCUGGUCUGUAACUGACACUGAGGCACGAAAGCGUGGGGAGCAAAUAGGAUUAGAAACCCCAGUAGUCCC